rnacentral:rRNA from 1 species
AGUUACCAGCACGUUAUGGUGGGCGACUCUAAGGAGACUGCCGGUGACAACCGGAGGAAGGUGGGGAGUGACGUCAAGUCAUCAUGGCCCUUACGGCCUGGGCUACACACGUGCUACAAUGGUCGGUACAAAGGGUUGCCAAGCCGCGAGGUGGAGCUAAUCCCAUAAAACCGAUCGUAGUCCGGAUCGCAGUCUGCAACUCGACUGCGUGAAGUCGGAAUCGCUAGUAAUCGUGAAUCAGAAUGUCACGGUGAAUACGUUCCCGGGCCUU